rnacentral:rRNA from 1 species
UACAGAGGGUGCGAGCGUUGUCCGGAAUCACUGGGCGUAAAGGGCGCGUAGGCGGCUUUUCAAGCGUGCGGUGAAAGCUCGGGGCUUAACUCCGAGUCUGCCGUGCGAACUGGGAGGCUGAGUCUGGUAGAGGUCGGAUGGAAUUCCGGGUGUAGCGGUGGAAUGCGUAGAGAUCCGGAAGAACACCGGUGGCGAAGGCGGUCGGAGCUGGGCCGCAGUACUGACGC